rnacentral:rRNA from 1 species
GACGAACGCUGGCGGCGUGCUUUACACAUGCAAGUCGAACGGUGAAGGUGGAGCUUGCUCCGCCGGAUCAGUGGCGAACGGGUGAGUAACACGUGGGCAACCUGCCCCUAACUUUGGGAUAACUACUCGAAAGAGUAGCUAAUACCGGAUAUGAAGUCUGUAGGCAUCUAUGGAUUUGGAAAGUUUUUCGGUUAGGGAUGGGCCCGCGGCCUAUCAGCUAGUUGGUGAGGUAAAGGCUCACCAAGGCGACGACGGGUAGCCGGCCUGAGAGGGUGACCGGCCACACUGGGACUGAGACACGGCCCAGACUCCUACGGGAGGCAGCAGUGGGGAAUAUUGCACAAUGGGCGCAAGCCUGAUGCAGCAACGCCGCGUGAGGGAUGACGGCCUUCGGGUUGUAAACCUCUUUUAGCAGGGAAGAAGCGAAAGUGACGGUACCUGCAGAAAAAGCACCGGCUAACUACGUGCCAGCAGCCGCAGUAA